UCGCCUGUUUAUCAAAAACAUGGCUUCCCGAUUUUAAUUUAUGUGAAGUCGUACCUGCCCAGUGAAAUUUUAACGGCCGCGGUACUCUGACCGUGCAAAGGUAGCAUAAUAAUUUGCCUUAUAAUUGAAGGCUGGAAUGAAUGGUUUGUCAAGGAUAAAACUGUCUCUAUAAAAUUUUAUAGAAUUUUAUUUUUAGGUGAAAAAGCCUAAAUUUCAUUAAAAGACAAGAAGACCCUAUCGAGCUUUAAAAAACUUAAUAAAUAUUUACAACUAAUUAGAAGUUUAAUUAUAAAAAAUUUUGGUUGGGGCAACCUAGGAGUAAAUAAAGCCUCCUUUUUUGAAAAAACUAUUUUGUUAGGAUCCAAAAAUUUUGAUCAGAAGAAAUAGUUACCGUAGGGAUAACAGCAUUAUUUUUUUUGAGAGCUCUUAUCGAAAAAAAAGUUUGUGACCUCGAUGUUGGACCAGAAUAUCCUGAAGAUGCAGAAGUCUUCAAGGGUUGGUCUGUUCGACCAUUAAAAUUCUACGUGAUCUGAGUUCAGACCGGA
rnacentral:rRNA from 1 species